UACAGAGGUCCCAAGCGUUGUUCGGAUUCAUUGGGCGUAAAGGGUGCGUAGGUGGCGCCGUAAGUCGGGUGUGAAAUUUCGGAGCUUAACUCCGAAACUGCAUUCGAUACUGCGGUGCUUGAGGACUGGAGAGGAGACUGGAAUUCAUGGUGUAGCAGUGAAAUGCAUAGAGAUCAUGAGGAAGACCAGUGGCGAAGGCGGGUCUCUGGACAGUUCCUGACACUGAGGCACGAAGGCCAGGGGAGCAAACGGG
rnacentral:rRNA from 1 species